GAGGGCCACCCCCAAGCACUGAAAUGACCGCUGGUCCUCCAGCUCACCUAGCGGCCCGCUGCUCCCUGGGGCCGGGUCGCAGGCGUCCAGGCACUGUCGGGGAAGCUCGGGGGCAGCAGGGUCUGGCCCACCGAGGACCAGAGCAGACCUCGACCCUGGAGGUGGGCCCGCCCUCCAGGCAGAGUGUGGACUCAGCUCCUUGAAGGGUGGUGGGCAGGCCAGGCAGAGCCGACUGGGAGGCCUGAGUCUUCCCAUUUAGGAGCCAGAGAAGCCCCCAGAAAACAACAGCUCCUAACUGCAUCCGACCCAUGUCAGUGCCCGGGAUCCUCCCACCAAGGGCUGGGUCGGUACCACGUGCACAGCCCCUUUGAGAAGGGAUCUGUCCGGUCACACGACUGUCCCUCCACGGCCUGUCACAAACCUGCGAUAAUUCAAUUCAGCCUGGAAGCAGGAUGCCUGCCCUGACACAGAUCAAGGGAGAAGCGGCAUCACCCCGACAGCCCUCCCCUCCUCGCCCUGCGGCCUGGUCGCUUCCUCCGGCUCAUCAGCACCAUCCCAGGUUCAGAUGAGGCUCUUCCAGCAAGCUCCUCCCAGGUCGAGAGGGUGACGUCUUUUUGCUUCUAUACUUCAG
rnacentral:lncRNA from 1 species